CAGGUAGGUGGUCUGUUAAGUCUUCUGUGAAAAUCCGGGGCUCAACCCCGCGAAAUGCAGGUGAAACUGGCAGACUUGAGACCGGUAGAGGCUAGCGGAAUUCCUGGUGUAGCGGUGGAAUGCGUAGAUAUCAGGAAGAACACCUGUGGCGAAGGCGGCUAGCUGGGCCGGUUCUGACACUAAACUGCGAAAGCGUGGGGAGCAAACA
rnacentral:rRNA from 1 species